AGAACCAUGUCCCCUUCCCUCCUCACUGUACACUGGGGUUCCACCUGUCACUGAACCUCUGGGAGCUUCAGGGCUGUCCACAGCCUGCCCCUCCACCCCACGCGUCGUCCCCCACCCCCGCACAAAGCCCCAGACUCUUGGCUGAGGUGGGUUGUGGGAGCUCUGGGACACCCACCCCUCUCCCGCCUCUUCUCCCCCCUCCCCAGCCCAAGCUGACGCCUCAGGAGAAGCUGAAACUGAGGAUGCAGAAGGCGCUGAACAGGCAGUUCAAGGCGGAUAAGAAGGCGGCACAGGAAAAGAUGAUCCAGCAGGAGCAUGAGCGGCAGGUGAAGUGGGGAAGGGAGGGCUGGGGUGGCGGGUGGGUGCUGGCCUGGCCACGUUCUUAUAGCCCUGUCUGCUGCAGGAGCGGGAAGACGAGCUUCGAGCCAUGGCCCGCAAGAUCCGGAUGAA
rnacentral:sRNA from 1 species